UACGUAGGGGGCAAGCGUUGUCCGGAUUUAUUGGGCGUAAAGAGCGUGUAGGCGGCCAAGCAGGUCCGCUGUGAAAACUCGAGGCUCAACCUCGAGACGUCGGUGGAAACCGUUUGGCUAGAGUCCGGAAGAGGAGAGUGGAAUUCCUGGUGUAGCGGUGAAAUGCGCAGAUAUCAGGAAGAACACCCGUGGCUAAGGCGGCUCUCUAGUACGGUACUGACGCUGAGACGCGAAAGCGUGGGGAGCGAACAGG
rnacentral:rRNA from 1 species